GACGAACGCUGGCGGCGUGCUUAACACAUGCAAGUCGAGCGGUAAGGCCCUUUCGGGGGUACACGGAGCGGCGAACGGGUGAGUAACACGUGGGUGACCUGCCCUCAGCUCUGGGAUAAGCCUGGGAAACCGGGUCUAAUACUGGAUAUGACUCCAUGACGCAUGUUGUGGGGUGGAAAGCCUUGUGGCGGCUGAGGAUGGGCCCGCGGCCUAUCAGCUUGGUUGGUGGGGUGANGGCCUACCAAGGCGACGACGGGUAGCCGGCCUGAG
rnacentral:rRNA from 1 species